GAUGAACGCUAGCGGCAGGCUUAAUACAUGCAAGCCGUGGGGCAGCGCAGGUAGCAAUACUGGGCGGCGACCGGCAAACGGGUGCGGAACACGUACACAACCUUCCGAGAAGUGGGGAAUAGCCCAGAGAAAUCUGGAUUAAUACCCCGUAACAUAACGAUGUGGCAUCACAUUGUUAUUAUAGCUUCGGCGCUUCUUGAUGGGUGUUCGGCUGAUUAGAUAGUUGGCGGGGUAACGGCCCACCAAGUCUACGAUCAGUAGCUGAUGUGAGAGCAUGAUCAGGCACACGGGCACUGAGACACGGGCCCGACUCCUACGGGAGGCAGCAGUAAGGAAUAUUGGUCAAUGGACGCAAGUCUGAACCAGCCAUGCCGCGUGAAGGAUUAAGGUCCUCUGGAUUGUAAACUUCUUUUAUCUGGGACGAAAAAAGGCGAUUCUUCGUCACUUGACGGUACCAGAUGAAUAAGCACCGGCUAACUCCGUGCCAGCCGCCGCCGUAACAC
rnacentral:rRNA from 1 species